rnacentral:lncRNA from 12 species
AUGCGUUUGUGUUGUGGCGUAUGCAUGUGCUCUGGUCAGCAUCUCUUCUGUUCUCUAAAUCCUCUUCUGUGUUUUGCUCUCUCCAGCACAAUAGCACCAGUUGUCCUGCUGGGUCACACACACAUAAAAAAAGGUUUUUACUCUGUGGAUAUGGGACCAUGUGUUCAGAACAGAGAACACAGGAGAAGAGAACAGUGCGGUCACUGGCUCCACCUUGAGGCGUCCUCUGUAACUGCAAUCAAAAAGAAUGGCGUCCAAACUCUCCCAGAGACCAAACUCGGAUGUCAACAGACAUCACAAGGACGAAAACUGUAUAACAAAUGCAUGGCAUAGUAUGACCACAGCGUUCCGUCAGAUAUCAGAGAUUGAAGCGAGAGAUCCCAGCCAUCCUCAGUCAUUUCUCGGCCAACAGAGACUGUCUGCUGCUCUCAGGAGGGUCCAGCUCUGCAAGGACAAAUCAAAAUAAAACGAUGACCUUUGUUCCAUAUUAGGAGUCCUAAAGUGCACAGGGCAUUGGUGAAACACAAAGUCAUUGGCUCCACCUGCUGGACACUGAAUGCGUUUACAUGCACAAUUAUGCUGAUGGACUGUAGUUAUUAUACAUACACUGAGUAAAUAUGCAAAUAAGUAAAUGUCAGAAAAUUACUUCACUCUCUAACCAAACCAAGUUUUUUCAGAUAGUGUAUUGUCCUCUGGUAUUAUUUGAUCACAUUGCAGUCUUCUGUGUGUGAGGUACCACAUGCCUUAUUUUUGUUGUUUGUACAACAGUCUUAGGCUAUAGCUUUUUUUAUUUAUUAUUAUUAUUCUAUGGUGAGAAUUUAAUUGUUUUAUUUGAAGUGCAAAACAACCAAUGAUUUUUAGUGUUUUUUGUCUUUCUUUAGCAAUAGCCAAUUAUUACAAGCCAAAAAUGGAUUUGUUAUUUGCAUUGUUCAAUUAAUGGAAAAUUUAGUUUGGUCCUCAUGAAGUGCUUUGAAAAUUAAAAUUUACAUUAUACCGUUGGAUCUUUGAUGAAAGAUUAAUUUGUAAUAAGCAUUAUGUGGCUUAGUCCAAAAUUAAAGUUGCAAAUAAAUGGCAGUUCAAGUUCAAAUCUGGAGAAAGAUUUACAUCUUGUGGUAAAAUAUUUUCUGAAAUCAAGAACUCCCUUUGUUGCGUGUUCCCCUUAGGAAAGUUUUUUCCAAAGGAAUUAUUAAAGGUCGUAAAUUUGAUUCAGACUACUUGUCAUGCACAAUGUACCUGAAGAUAGGAAACACUUAACACUUGAGCUCAACAUCUGACUGUUUGAACUUCAGCUGAGCAAGAUCUACCCGUGAGAAAGAAACCAUUUAUUUAGCCAUAAACACGUAAGUGAUUAUUGUGCAUAAUGGUUUUUCAUGGUUACAAUUUCGUAACCAUAUUACUAUUAAUGUUUUUGCUUUACUAUAGAAAUCAAAAGCCCAUGCGUUGUUCUUGUAUAGGCUAACGGAGAAAUAAAUACAUACAGAGGCCUACACAAGACCGCAUCAAUCGAUGCUGCUUAAGUUGUAAAAUAAAAAUGUAUUGACAUUAUUUAAAAAAAAAAAAAAUGUGAAAAGCACACAACAGCAAAGCUUUUCCGUUCCCACGGCGUGAUAUGAAGAGAUGAGAUGAAAGGCGCACUUGUCACUACCACACGAAAACUCACCUGUCACUCACAGCCAUUAUUCAGACAGGUACAAGCUAUAUUCCCCCCAUAAAAAAACAAUGAUGACCAGUCAUGAAAGAACCCGCUGAGAGUAUAUCAUGGUCAGCUCUGGCUUCAUGUCCACAACGACAGCAAGGUGACCAAACGGAACCUUGAACCGCAAGAUUUUUCAAAAAUCCACUUUCUUCUGCGACUUUUUCUUGAGCGACAGCGGAAGAAAAGAAAUCAGUUUUCGAGUAUAGUUUGUA